AGUGAACGCUGGCGGCGUACUUAACACAUGCAAGUCGAACGAGAACGGGUUAUAGCUUGCUAUAAUUGUCAGCUAAGUGGCGCACGGGUGAGUAAUGUAUAGGUAAUAUGCCUCUUACUAAGGGAUAACAAAUGGAAACGUUUGCUAAUACCUUAUACUCCUUAUUAACAUAAGUUAAUAAGGGAAAGAUUUAUUGGUAAGAGAUUAGCCUGUAUUGUAUCAGCUAGUUGGUGGGGUAAUGGCUUACCAAGACUAUGACACAUAACUGGUUUGAGAGGAUGAUCAGUCACACUGGAACUGAGACACGGUCCAGACUCCUACGGGAGGCAGCAGUGGGGAAUAUUGCACAAUGGACGAAAGUCUGAUGCAGCAACGCCGCGUGGAGGAUGACACAUUUCGGUGCGUAAACUCCUUUUAUAUGAGAAGAUAAUGACGGUAUUAUAUGAAUAAGCACCGGCUAACUCCGUGCCAGCAGCCGCGGUAA
rnacentral:rRNA from 1 species